CAGAUUCUGAUUCAGAAUCUGAAUCUGAACCAAGUGAUGAGAGCGAAGAAUCAUCACCUGCAGAGAAGGAGAAGAAAAAGAAAAAAACAAAAACAACACCAAAAAAAACACAACCAAAAAAGAAAAAAGUUGUUGUGGAGGAUUCACCUCCUAAAGAAGAUCAAUACUUUGACGGUGAGACAUAUGAAAUAUCAAGUGACGAACUAGAUGAAUGGCUAAGGGAAAAUGUUGAUAAAUCUGCUGCAGAGGGGGAGAACCAAGCUGACCUGCGAUCGACAGAAGGUC